AUUGAACGCUGGCGGCAGGCCUAACACAUGCAAGUCGAGCGGCAGCACAAGUGAGUUUACUCAGGAGGUGGCGAGCGGCGGACGGGUGAGUAAUGCCUAGGGAUCUGCCCAGGCGAGGGGGAUAACAGUUGGAAACGACUGCUAAUACCGCAUACGCCCUACGGAGGAAAGCGGGGGAACUGCGGGCCUCGCGUUAUGCGAGCGGCCGACGUCUGAUUAGCUAGUUGGUGGGGUAAAGGCUCACCAAGGCGACGAUCAGUAGCGGGUCUGAGAGGAUGAUCCGCCACACUGGGACUGAGACACGGCCCAGACUCCUACGGGAGGCAGCAGUGGGGAAUUUUGGACAAUGGGCGAAAGCCUGAUCCAGCCAUGCCGCGUAAGUGAAGAAGGCCUUCGGGUUGUAAAGCUCUUUUGUCCGGGAGGAAAUCCCGUAACCCAAUACGUUACGGGGAUGACAGUACUGGAAGAAUAAGCACCGGCUAACUACGUGCCAGCCGCCGCAGUAAAAC
rnacentral:rRNA from 1 species